UCAAAGAUUAAUCCACCCAUGUUUAAGUAUAAGCAAUUUGUACUGUGAAACUGCGAAAGGCUCACUAAAUCAGUUAUAGUUUAUUUGAUAGUACCCUACUACAUGGAUACCUGUGGUAAUUCUAGAGCUAAUACAUGCUAAAAACCUCGACUUCGGAAGGGGUGUAUUUAUUAGAUAAAAAACCAACGCCCUUCGGGGCUCCUUGGUGAAUCAUAAUAACUGAGCGAAUCGCAUGGCCGUUGCGCCG
rnacentral:rRNA from 1 species